rnacentral:misc_RNA from 1 species
GAUGAAGAACGCAGCGAAAUGCGAUACUUGGUGUGAAUUGCAGAAUCCCGUGAACCAUCGAGUCUUUGAACGCAAGUUGCGCCCGAAGCCAUUAGGCCGAGGGCACGCCUGCCUGGGCGUCACACGUCGUUGCCCCCCCAUCUACUCCUUCGGGAUUGCGGGGGGUGGAUGAUGGCCUCCCGUGCGCCUCGCCGCGCGGUUGGCAUAAAUGCCAAGUCCUCGGCGACGCACGCCACGACAAUCGGUGGUUGCGAAACCUCGGUUGCCCGUCGUGUGCGGUCGUCGCGCAUCGAGGGCUCGAAAAAAUUGUCGGGCUCCGGCUCGGCUUUCAACGCGACCCCAGGUCAGGCGGGGUUACCCGCUGAAUUUAAGCAUAUCAAUAAGCGGAGGA